rnacentral:rRNA from 1 species
AGCAGGCGCGCAAAUUACCCAAUCCCAAUUCGGGGAGGUAGUGACAAGAAAUACCAGUACAGGGCUCGAUGAGUACUGUGAUUGGAAUGAAUACAAUUUAAAAACCUUAAUGAGGAACGAUUGGAGGGCAAGUCUGGUGCCAGCAGCCGCGGUAAUUCCAGCUCCAAUAGUGUAUAUUAAAGUUGCUGCAGUUAAAAAGCUCGUAGUUGGAUUUUGGAUUAUAAAAAUUUAACAUUCAUUUUUUAAAUGUGAUUUAAUUUUUAUAUCCUUCCUUUUGAUACACUCCAUUAAAUUAUAUUUAUUGGGUUAAAGUGUUUCAAAUUGUUUACUGUGAAAAAAUUAGAGUGUUCAAAGCAGGCGUAACUUAGUCUUUGAAUAUAUUAGCAUGGGAUAAUGAAAUAGGACUUUAAUCCUACUUUCGUUGGUUUCUAGGGCUAAAGUAAUGAUUAAUAGGGAUAGUUGGGGUCACUAGUAUUUAAUUGUCAGAGGUGAAAUUCUAAGAUUUAUUAAAGACUAACUACUGCGAAAGCAUUUGACAAGGAUGUUUUCAUUAAUCAAGAACGAAAGUUGGGGGAUCGAAGAUGAUCAGAUACCGUCGUAGUCUCAACCAUAAACUAUGCCGACCAAGGAUCCGAGGUUGUUAAUAUGGAUGACUCUUCGGGCACUUAUAGAGAAAUCAUAAGUAUUUGGGCUCCGGGGGGAGUAUGGUCGCAAGGCUGAAACUUAAAGGAAUUGACGGAAGGGCACCACAAGGAGUGGAACCUGCGGUUUAAUUUGACUCAACACGGGGAAACUUACCAGGUCCAGACACAGUGAGGAUUGACAGAUUGAGAGUUCUUUCUUGAUUCUGUGAGUGGUGGUGCAUGGCCGUUUCUAGUUGGUGGAGUGAUUUGUCUGGUUAAUUCCGUUAACGAACGAGACCUUAACCUAUUAAAUAGUUAUUUAAACUUGAUUUUUAAAAUCAAAUGUUUAAAAAACUUCUUAGAGGGACUCUUCACUGAGAGAGUGAAUGGAAGUUUGAGGCAAAAACAGGUCUGUGAUGCCCUUAGAUGUUCUGGGCCACACGCGCGUUACACUGACAUAUUCAACGAGCAUUAUCCUUACCCGUCGGGGUUGGGUAAUCUUUUAAAUGUAUGUCGUGCUGGGGAUAGAUCAUUGUAAUUAUUGGUCUUGAACGAGGAAUUCCUAGUAAGUGCAAGUCAUCAACUUGCGCUGAUUACGUCCCUGCCCUUUGUACACACCGCCCGUCGCUCCUACCGAUUGAAUGGUCCGGCGAGAACUCAGGAUGGAUAUGGAUUUUGGACACCGUUAGGUGUUCCAACCAUAUCCAGAAUUUGUUCAAACCUUACCAUUUAGAGG